UUGACCCAAGAGGAGGGCAUCACUCAGGAAACCACCUUGACCCAACAAGAGACCAUGACCCAGAAUGAGGCCAUCACUCAUGAUGAAACCUUGACCUGGGAAAUGACCAUGAACCAUGAAAGGACCAUGAUCCAGGAUGAAGCCAUAUCACAGGAAACAAUCAUGACCCAGGAAGCAACCAUCAUGGUCAUAGAGGCCAGCAUUCAGGAUGCAACCAUCACCCCAGAAGCCCACCAUGACCCAAAUUGAGACCAUGACCCAGGAAGAGGCUAUCACUCUGGACAAGGCCAUGACCCAGGAAGUGAUCAUCACCCAUGGCCAGCCCAAGGAGGCACGCCAAGCUUCUUCCCGAACCAGGAGGCAUCACAGCUGGAAGGGGGUCAAGAAAACAAUUAUAAACUGCCUCAGAAACCUCUGUUGCUGCUGCCUGCCUCCUGCAGACAGAGGCCCUGCCUCCUGCAAGAACCUGGCUCCAAAAGGAGGGGAUCAUGGAGUCACCCACAGAACCUGUCCUGAAGAGGUCAAGCCCCAGCUCCAUGGCUUGUGAGCCACGGGUUGGGGACUGGUCUGGCUGAGAAUCAGACAGCCCCACGAGGAGCCAGGCCAGAUGUCCAGGAAGCAGUGUGGACACAGGCCUCUCCUGCAGAGGAAGAGCUGUCCACCCCAGCGCAGAUCUCUCCAGGCCACCAUUCCCACUGGGAACUGGAUCCCACACUCACCACCGCAUGCCACAUCAUGAGGCAGUCAUAGGUAUCAUGAUAUCAAUCAAACCAGAAACCCUUACGAGGGGGCAGCAACCUGCUGUGGGCCUGCCUCUUGCCAAACCAAGUCUGCCCUUGGAAGUCCAUAUCCCUAAGGUUGUCUGUUCUUAUACAGACGGUGCCAACAUGCCACAGAACAGAUACACGGAAAAGUCUGUGUGACUGAUGUGGACGUUACAUCGAUCUAUGUGUCUCCAUGAUGUGACAUGAAAACAAUGGUCCUGUGAUGAUAAUCAUGCUAUACUGGCUUCUGUGUCCAACAGGGUAUCUUGAUAGUGUUCCAGCUCUAGGAGAAGACAACUGUCACAUCUCUUCUGUCCUCUGAGCAACACUAAGCUCCUAGGACAGGAAUGUGCUCAAUUUAAAAAGAAAAGAGAAUCUUACUCCACUCUGGGAUGAGAAGAGUACCCCAGAACCCCAUGCUUCCCAACCCACCAACAACAACUCUGGGAAAGUACAUUCCACGGGAUUCUUUGCUGGCCUCAGCCACUGGGUCUGCUCAGAAAAAACUGAGGAGGACUUCUCAGGUGACUCUGGCAAGCCUGGGAGGUAGAUCUGGCCUCUCACAUUGUGAUCCCCCUAAGACAACUGUAUUAUUCACCUGCCACCAUCCCCGGGAAUAUAAAGCCACUGUCCUGAAGAGGUCAAGCCCCAGCUCCAUGGCUUGUGAGCCACGGGUUGUGGACCGGUCUUGCUGAGAAUCGGACAGCCCCACGAGGAGCCAGGCCAGAUGACCAGGAUGCAGUGUGGACACAGGCCUCUCCUGC